UGCCAGCCGCCGCGGUAAGACGAACCGUGCGAACGUUAUUCGGAAUCAUUGGGCUUAAAGAGCACGUAGGCGGCGUCGUAAGUUGGAAGUGAAAUCCCACGGCUCAACCGUGGAACUGCCUCCAAUACUGCGAUGCUUGAGGGAGGUAGGGGCCUGUGGAACUUCCGGUGGAGCGGUGAAAUGUGUUGAGAUCGGAAGGAACGCCAGUGGCGAAAGCGACAGGCUGGAUCUUUUCUGACGCUGAGGUGCGAAAGCUAGGGUAGCGAACGGGAUUAGAUA
rnacentral:rRNA from 1 species